UUUUAACGGCCGCGGUAUCCUAACCGUGCAAAGGUAGCAUAAUCACUUGUUCCUUAAUUAGGGACUUGUAUGAACGGUUAAAUGAGGGCAAAACUGUCUCCUACAGUUAAUCAAUGAACUUGAUCAUACAGUACAAACGCUGUAAUUUAUUUAUAAGACGAGAAGACCCUGUGGAGCUUUAAACUUCUACAUUAAUUUAAAACUAACAUAAUGUAAAAUUUUAAGUUGGGGCGACUACGGAGUAAAAAAAAACCUCCAUGAAACUCGACUAAUCCUCGCCACAGAAGGCCAACAAGCCUUAACCAAAACGUUUGACCCAAUCAUAUUGAAUACCGAACCAAGUUACCCCAGGGAUAACAGCGCCAUCCCCUUAAAGAGUUCACAUCGCCAAGGGGGUUUACGACCUCGAUGUUGGAUCAAGACUUCCCAGUGGUGUAGCCGCUACUAAAGGUUCGUUUGUUUCAACGAAUAAUGUCUUACGUGAU
rnacentral:rRNA from 1 species